UCUCCUCGUAUUUCCGACCACGUUCCCCCUCACGUUUCCAGCCACUUUUCCCCUCAUGUUUUCUGCUUUUUCCUCCUCACAUUUCCCACCAUUUUCCCCCUCACAUUUUGCACUAUUCCCCUCAUGUUUCCAGCCACUUUUCCCCUCUCAUUUUCUGCUUUUUCCCCCUCACAUUUCCCACUCUUUUUCUCCUCACGUUUCUCGCUUUUUCUCCUCACAUUUCACACCAUUUUUUCCCCUCACGUUUUCUACCAUUUUUCCCCUCAUGUUUCCAGCCACUCUUCCCCUCACAUUUUCUGCUUUUUUUCCCUCAUAUUGUCUGCUUUUUUCCCCUCGCAUUUUCUGCUUUUUUCCCCCCCAAAUUUCCGCCUUUUUUCCCCCCAAAAUUCCCAACCUUUUUUUUCCCACAUUUCCCACCACUUUUUCCCUCACAUUUUCUACUUUUCCCCAUUUUUUCCCCCUCACGUUUCCCGCUCUUUUUCUCCUCACAUUUCCCACCGUUUUUCCCUCUCAUGUUUUCUACCACUUUUUCCCUCGUGUUUCCAGCCUUUCCACACUUUUCUCCUCACGUUUCCCAACCUUUUCUCCCCUCACGUUUCCCACCCUUUUUUCUCCUGUUUCCAUCUCUUUUUUCCUCACAUUUUCCAGCAUUUUUUCCUGUCAUGUUUUCUACCACUUUUCCCCUUGCAUUUUCCAUCCUUUUCCCCCCUCACGUUUCCCACCUUUUUCCCCUUGCAUUUCCCACCAUUUUUUCCCUCACAUUUUCCAUCCUCUUCCCCUCACAUUUUCCAUCUCUUUUUUCCUCACGUUUUCUACCACUUUUCCCCUCACAUUUUUCCAUCCUUUUCCCCUCACAUUUUCCAUCCUUUUCCCCUCACGUUUUCUACGACUUUUCCCCUCACGUUUUCCAUCCUUUUCCCCUCACAUUUUCCAUCCUUUUCCCCUCAUGUUUCCCGCCCUUUUCUCCCCUCACGGUUUCCCGCCCUUUUCUCCCCUCACGUUUUCUACCACUUUUCCCCUCACAUUUUUCCAUUCUUUUCCCCUCACGUUUUCCAUUCUUUUCCCCUCACAUUUCCCGCCCUUUUCCCCUCACGCUCCCCGCCAUCUUUCCCUCACAUUCCCCAGCACAAACCCCCCCCAAACCCAACUUUUCUCACCCCAAACCCACCGAACACCAAUAAAAACCCCUCCUCACACUCACCCUGCAGUUUGGCCGACAAUCUGACGACACCAACACAUCCAUCAGCACCCGCUCCAGGCUCCCCCAGCCCACGCGGGCGAGUCCUGAGGGCGCCCAGGGCAAUUCGGGGAGGGGGUCCCAGGGCGGAUUUUUUCCGGAUUUUUGGCGGUUUUGGGGUCCCACCGUGGUUGAUGAAGGCAGCCGGCCCCAGCCAGAGCUGGGUUUUCCUGCGGCGGGUGGAGUACAUGAGGCUGAAGUCGUUGUCGCCCGCCCGCAGCAGCGCCCGGUCCGAGCCCCGCAGCUCCACCCCGCAGCCGCCCAGCAGCUCCAGCGUCUCGUGCUUGCGCCUGGACACCC
rnacentral:lncRNA from 1 species